rnacentral:rRNA from 1 species
CGUCAAUGAGGGUGAGAAUCCUGUUUGUCAUGUGCAGCCCUUUGUGCACGGUGUAUAUUUGCUGAGUCACACUCCUUGGCAUUGGAAUGCAAAGUGGGUGGUAAGUUUCAUGUAAAGGUAAACAUGCAAUUGAGACUGAUAGCACACAAGUACCAUGAGGGAAAUAUGAAAAGGACUUUGAAAAGAGAAUUAAAUGAGUUUGUAUUUGCUGAACACAAAGUAAACAGACUUGAUUUGCUUGGUGGGAGUGUUGCACUUGCUUGACAAGAGCUUUGGGCUGUGGGUGUAAUGAUUCUUUCUUUGCAUGCCAGUUUCUAUUUGUACAUCUGAUUACCUUUGCACAUGAAUGAUAAGUCUCCUGUGGGGGGUGGAUUGCAUGUGCAUGUAAUGAUUUGUGUUUUGAUAAAUGUGUCUGGUGUAUGUGUGUGUUCCUGUGCUUGGGGAUGCUUCCUUCCUUGGACUUACAAGCCCUGACACACACAUGCUGGCAAAAUGCUUCUGCUUGACCCGUCUUGAAACACGGACCAAGGAGUCUAACAGAUGUGCAAAGUUUGAAGGUGGUAUACCUUUGUGUGCAAUGAAAGUGUCAGCUGGGAUAUGUGCACCAGCACCCAAUUAAUUAGCGGACAGAGGUUUGAGUUGGAGCAUAUCUAUUAGGACCCGAAAGAUGGUGAACUAUGCCUGAACAGAAUGAAUUCAGAGGAAACUCUGAUGGAGGUUCGUAUCGAUACUGACGUGCAAAUCGUUCGUCAUAUUUGGGUAUAGGGGCGAAAGACUAAUCGAACCAUCUAGUAGCUGGUUCCCUCCGAAGUUUCCCUCAGGAUAGCUGGAGUUGCUCAGUUUUAUCAGGUAAAGCGAAUGAUUAGAGGAAUUGGGGACAGGUUUGUCUUUGACCUAUUCUCAAACUUUAAAUGGGUAAUAUGUAGUGGUUGCUGUAUGGAACUUCUAAGAUAAAUGGCAAUAUUGGGUGGGCCAUUUUUGGUAAGCAGAACUGGCGAUGAGGGAUGAACCUAAUGUGGGGCUAAGGUGCUUA